CAUAUAAUACGUUAAUAAGACAUUAAGAAUGAGAUCUGAAAAGGUCAAAUGCCUAUUUGGUAUCAAAAGUACACUAUUUGGAGUGUAUUUGCACUGUUUUAAGCAUUCGUGGUAUAUAACGAACGUGCAUUGGAUACGCUUUGGAACUUAAGAAAAUAAACACAUAUAAUACGCUAAUGAGACGUUAUGACUGAGUUAUCAUAAGAUGAAAUGCUUAGUUGGUGUCAAAAGUACACUGUUUGGAGUGUACUUACACUGUUUUCAGCAUUCAUUGGAUAAAACGAUCGUGCGUUGGAUACGCUUUGGAACUUAAGCAAAUAAACACGUAUAAUACAUUAAGAA
rnacentral:lncRNA from 1 species